rnacentral:rRNA from 1 species
AUUGAACGCUGGCGGCAGGCCUAACACAUGCCAGUCGAGCGGAUGAAGGGAGCUUGCUCCUGGAUUCAGCGGCGGACGGGUGAGUAAUGCCUAGGAAUCUGCCUGGUAGUGGGGGAUAACGUCCGGAAACGGGCGCUAAUACCGCAUACGUCCUGAGGGAGAAAGUGGGGGAUCUUCGGACCUCACGCUAUCAGAUGAGCCUAGGUCGGAUUAGCUAGUUGGUGGGGUAAAGGCCUACCAAGGCGACGAUCCGUAACUGGUCUGAGAGGAUGAUCAGUCACACUGGAACUGAGACACGGUCCAGACUCCUACGGGAGGCAGCAGUGGGGAAUAUUGGACAAUGGGCGAAAGCCUGAUCCAGCCAUGCCGCGUGUGUGAAGAAGGUCUUCGGAUUGUAAAGCACUUUAAGUUGGGAGGAAGGGCAGUAAGUUAAUACCUUGCUAUUUUGACGUUACCAACAGAAUAAGCACCGGCUAACUUCGUG